CAAACACGGCCGCGUACAGGUAAUCUCGUGCCUAGCCUAGGUGUCUACACGUCGACGGAAAUGACACGAACCUAACCCAACACAUCGUUCUUCAAGCCAAAGAAAUCAUUACCCAACACCAGAACCCUCGCCCCCCAAGCUCGUUCACCUCCUUGAUCGAUUGGUGCCAACAUCUCAUCACGCACGCUAGUGAUGGCUUCCGCGGCAGGAAGCGAUGGGGCGACGAGGAGGAGGGCGGUGAGGCGGCUGAACUUUGGGGGGGGGGUCGUGGGACGACAAGGAGGAGGCAGCGGCGGAGAUCGGGAGGCUGGCGUGCUCCAAGAGCGGCCGAAGCAGGUGCUCCUGGAGAUCGGUGUCGUACCGACGCUCUGUCCAUGCUUGUGAACGCGCGGGGGAGGGUGGAGGAGGCGCGCGGAUGGCCGCGGUCAGGGCGCUGCUCGAGCUCGCCAGAGGAAUGCACAGAUCGAGGUUGGAGUCAGAAAGAGAUGUUCAAGGAAGGAUGUGGGGGAAAAAAGCAUAAACAAUCAGUAUUGUGGCCUGCAACCUUCAUGGCGACCCAUGUCCUCCACUCCAGGUCUGGACACCGCGCUCAAGAUUCCUCUGCUCCUAUCCUGUGUUUUUUUUUUCGAGGGCUCUCCUAUCCUGUGUAAGUUGACGCGAUGGUAGGCCGCCAGCCACCAGCUUGGCUUGACGUCCCCAUCCGUUUGUGUGGCCACAGCUAAGCAUCUCCCUCUGGUGCGGCUUGAUGGGGACGACAACGCCGCACGGGGCGGAGGCGGUGCUGCUUCCGGUGAGGACGACGACGCAAUAUCAGGGGUUAUGUUGACAAAUAACAUAACAUAUGAAAAUUAUUUUAAUUUUUUUUUGCUCGAUAUUGUUUUCCAUACAGGUAAAUAUAGUUGAGUAACUCAACUUUGGAGCUAAUCAUGUGCAGUACGAUAUAUGGCUGCCACCAAUUUAUCCAUGUUUUGUAUCAACAUCCAUGUCACAGAAGGAUACAAAAAAGAUAUAGACAUAUGAGGGUGUAUGGUAAAAAAUAUGCAAGGAGUGCUCAAGUACCAUUGGAAUUUCUUUAAAACAAUGAUAAGGAAACAAUACAAAUGAAUCUACAUUUAAAUGCUUCGAAUUGAAAAAUUAGACAUGCUACACUACAUCAUUUUUUAUUGUCCUUGAACCUGGACCUCCUUCCCUAACUGCAAAUUCUUCUUAUUCUUAUCAUCACAACACUAAAUUAUAAGAUGCAGAUAUUUUUUAGAAAAUGGUGAAACCAUACAUCUUAUUUAGUUGAGGACUUCAUUUCUCCCGACCUUCAGUUUCUUCUUGGUAUCCAAAAAUCUCUCAAACUAAGGUGCAUAUACACCUGCAGCUGAUUGCCAAGAAAUACAUACUCAUCUAAAUUCCUCUUUGCAAACCUGCAACAUGACAGCACACUUACAUAAAUCAUAUAGUAAAUCUGAAUCUAACAAAAGAAAAGGCGUUAAUGAAGUAGCUUGGGUAAACUAUUAGCUCCAGAUUUGUUGUCCAAGUCCCAAGCAUGUACCACAAAAACUAAACUAAAUCAUGCCCACAAAGGACCAAGAAAUAACCCUAUAUCGUCUUCCUUUGGUUCACAACUUGGGGUAACCUGAGUAAAGCACACAGGGUCUCAGCUACGUACAUGCCCUGCCAGGGAAAGCUUCUACCGGUUGUUGGUACAACAUGGGCGCCAAAUUUUUAGGAUGUUGUUUCUAAGAUAUUCGGUCUCCCGCGGGGGUAAACAGUCUUGUAUGUAGCUUUGACCCUGACAUGGGUGCCAAAUGCCCAGUAUGAAUAUAAGAUAUAAUUGUGAUGAACGAUGAAAAUAGAUCAAUUAAGAAUUUGCCGCUUAGAAACAAUGUUUCUAGUAUUUAUGAAAUUGGAUUAAAUAUUACUUUACUGUCAAAUAAUUGGAAGCUUCAAUUAAAAAUAUGCAGCAGCCAUGAAACAGAGUAUACAAUGAAACGAAUGACUCAAGAGCGAAGCAGUGAUUUGUACCCUUUCUAGCAAACAUGCAUGUAUUGCAAAAGGUAGUUCUUUUUUAUUUUUCAUCACCGAGAUUAAACCAACUGUACACAUCAGAAAUUAAUGAUAAGAAAUCGAUUGACGAUAAUGAGAUAUAGAGAAAAUAGAGAUUCAAUGUGGCAUGCAAGGUAAAGCCAAAGCCAAAGCCAAAGACUGAACUUUCCCAAACCAUAGAAACAUUAAUGAAAAAAGGCAUGGGAUAUCUUGUUUUAGGCAAAAAUACAGUCCCAACCCUCAAUGAGCUACACAGGAAACCUCUCCAAUUACGAUGACGAAGUAACAAAAAAUAAGCUGCAAGCCUGCAACCUGACAGCCGAAAUGGGAAAAACAUAUAGGAGAAUUAUAGAGACUAUUUUGAUUUAUCAGAGAUGGUAAAAUAGUACACUCUGUGGUCAUUCAAAUGAACAAAAUAAUGGUGAACUGAACUCCAUACCAGCACAAGUAGGAACUAUAGCCAGAAGAACCACUUUUGCAUUCCAAUCAUCCUAAAUUUAUUUUAAAUGAUACAUAUUUGCUAAAUUUAGCAAAGAAUAACUCCAGCAAAGAAAACAAAGACCUCUUGGAGUGCUUUGCAAUACUCAAAUAGAGCAGAAUGCCUCGGAGCUAUUUUAGACUUCGCCUACAACUGCAGAGCACACCGAAUUGAGUUAAUUUGCUAGAGGUAUAUAGAAUAAUAUACCAAUGCAAGAACAUCGCAAUGGCCUGUUGAGCCACUCACAUCACCAUAACAUUUCAAUACUUUGGAGAAGGUGACCGACCUGUAAUGGAAACAGAGAUUCUGGUGGAGCUUGCUUGCAGGUGCCCUGUAAUGAUCAAGAAGGUAAGUAAGAAAUUACGGUUUUCAAAAUUAAGCACUGACUUGUCAUUUAUAACUCAAAUUGUCAUCGUUGAAGCUAUUCAUCAAGAAAAGCAACCAAUAAAGGGUGAUAAUUCGCAGAUAUUUAGAAGCAUUGCAAGUUUAAUGAUGUAACUUCACUUCAAUCCUCCCUCACAGCUACAAAAGUGCACAUCAUAUGUCAUUAAUCAAUCUCUUAAAUCUCACACAAUUAGGCUUCAGUGUAAGAAAAAUGGACUUCCAAUCCACAACAGUGGUAGUAGGCAAAGAUUAAUAGGUAGACCAGGAAGACAUAAUCUGCCUUGCUGCAACCACAAAUAAAUCAGGAAUAAAAAUAGACAUACCCCAUGGUGUCAGGCGAUAUAUGUAUUGCUGGUUAAAGAGCCUCUCCAGCUUGAUGGUCAAUUCCAUCAACACAGACAACAUAUCAUUAUGCCAGUAGGAUGAUAUAACUAAAUAUUGUUCUUCUAUAAAAAAAACUAUGGAAGCUUACCACCAAAUUCUUUUGUGCAUGCUGCAACCUUCAGAAGUAUAUUAACAAAUUUACUCCCUAAUAUGUAUCUCCAUCUCCGUGAUUUAUAAUAAAAGGGAUGAAAAACUACUCGAAAUGUGAAUGUUUUCAUGAAAAAAUAGCAAACACUUCAAGUGGAGGAGGAUCUCACCUGAAGGUUACGCCAUCUGCAGGCGCCAUACGAGAAGAGGAAGAUGUCAUGGCGCCAUGCAAUACUUUUAGUAGAGAUAUCCAUGGCCUCCAUCCUUUAUUUUUAGCUUGACAAUCCUUCAUAAAACUAUAAAGAAAAGGAGAACAGUGGUAAACAGUACACAUCAGUGUCCAGAGCUACCAAUCAUGUUAAAAGCAUAAAGAGUGGUCCACUUAAUAUGAGCGCAUAAGUAUGAAAACUAUUAGUUGACAUAUGGAAGCGAGGAAAAAAAAAACAGGGUAUGUACAUUAAACACAACUGUCACCCUGUUAACUCCAGAUAAGCUGCCAUUUUCUCACAACUGAAGUCGGCUUGGAAGGCAAACCCUCUUUGAGGACAACGUGAACCAGUAGACAGGCCAGACUACAAAAGGCCAUGUGGGCAUACAUGUAAACAUGUAGAUUUCAAAUUCAGAGUUCAAAAUCAGUAUCAAUUGCUAAAAUAAAAUAGUUGGAUGAUGUUAUCUCUAGGAGGAAUUUCAGUUUUCCUAUGGUAUUUAACAUAUUACUUUUUAGAUUUUAUAAGCACCAUAAGCAAAGUAGACCUUGCGAGGAUAUUUACAGGCUCAUGACAUACAGUAGUCCUAGGUGGAUUGAAAUAUCAAGUACAUUAUGGGAAAAUGUCCAUAUGUCUCUGUUUUGUCACGCUAUUUAGCAAACCACUGAAACAAAUCAGUUAUAACAAAUUUUCCGUAUAGGUAUAGAAAUAGCAGUAAACUGCGUCAAGAAAGUGUAAAGAGACAAAAUGUGAACCAGGAGGUUUACCUGGAUGCGCAAGUGGCCUUAUUCUAAUGAAUUUUCAGAUAAGGGAAUGAGGAACACCAACUCUGACAAUAAAAUCAUAGAGAAUCAUACAUCAAGAUAGAAAUGUGGAGUUUAAAAGAUAUGUAGUUCAAAGCUGAUGGUGAAGAGGCAAGGUAAGGAUCUCAUAUACCUACGGAGUGGAUAUAGAGAGGUCACCGGCAUCGACAACUUGACCUGGCCAAGGCCAACCACCUCCACACGCUGCAGGGGACCUCUGCACCUUGCACCGCAACCUUAUUUGUUUUCUUCGUAGGAAAAUGUUGGCCAUGCCCAUCGGUUUUCAUCUUUUUCUUCAGAUAAAGGUCUUCUCAUGCUAUGUCUUCUGCCAUAUUUAAUACUACCGGAAUCUGAAAUACAGUUAAUAAGUAAAAUGGAACCAUACAUCUUUUGAUAGAAUAUGGGAGAAUCUACAAGUAAUUCCUAUGUUGAAGAUAUCAUACGAUGCUACUAAAGGACACACAGUCACUAUUUCUUACGUGGUUUGUAAAUUAUAAAUGACCUGGAAAACCUGAAUUGACUUGCAGCAUAUUUUUGCAUUAUGGUAAUAUCCCCUGCCAACACUAUUUUUGAGUUCCUUCUGGCUGAAAUUGAUUAGCUUCAAAGUCACCUGUAUAAGUAUACCAAUAAUUUGAUUUAGCUUUGAAAUAUCAAAAAAUCAAUUAUCUAGUACAGAUGUUGGAGAGCUCUCACUUUUUGUCUCCUCUUUAUCCUGCAGUCGGGUUCUACUUCUUGGUCUCCGCCUCAUCUUCCACUUGCAGACUGGAAGCUGAGGACAAAGGUGACGAGGAUGGAUGUUCGGGACUGUGAGGCGGCGCGCUAGGGUUUUCACCCGCCGGUGCAGCCGCGCCGCCGACCAGAUGCAGCGGCCGCUGCUCACCACGGAGCUCCCGCUCGUCAAGCGCGCACCCCAUGGCGUUCUUCUUCUGCUCGCCCAGCGAGGCGGCCGGCAUGUGGAGGAGACCCGCUGGCGACGCGAUGGGCUACUCGCCGGCGAGGCCGAGCGCAAGAUCCGCUGGAGGCGCUAUGGGAUUUGGAGGAGGAUGCGUAGGGAUUGGGGAGAGGAGAGAGAGGAGAGGAUUGGAGGAGAUGAGAGAGGAGAGGAUUGGGGAGAGGAAAGAGUGAGGGGAAGAGAUGAGAUCGUGGGAUUGGGUGUGGAGCUGCCCAAUCAGGGUCAGCUAGGAUUUUCACCCAUAGGGAUGUGUCCUGCAUCCACCCAGGCAACUGACAAGAUGGUCCAUUUAGAAGAAGGGCCCGCGUGCAGUGACAGGUGGGUAGAACCUCACCAUUUCAUGUCUUGAUCUAGUGGGCUGUGAAAAAAUCUUAACUGAAAUGGACGGAUGAGAUGCUCUAGUUGACAAUAUCCUGUGGCUAAGAAGCUGAAAUCGCUGUGAGCUCCCCAUGGGAGGGCAUCUAUUAUACCUUUAGAUGCAGACUUAUCAUGAUGUACAGUUUCAAAGCCGAACACUAUCCACACAUCGAGAAAAGUACUUAAGUCUCCCGCGGAAUACCCACUCUCCUGUAGAUUUUCAGUGUGAAUAAUAAGUUGGAUCAUCAUCCGUGCAUAAUUUUACUCGAUCUGUAGAUUGAACUUGGAUCUGGCACCAGAACAUAUCGUAUCGAUGCUUCGCCGUUCCAACCGUUCUAACCGAUUUCCUCCGAUGGUCCGCUUUUGCUAGCAUUGCAGCUAGGUCCCACUCCCACCGCACCCCUCCUCUCGCCACGCCGGCGAUGAGCUCCUCGGCGGAACCUCCUCUCUCCGACUACCUCUCUGCUCCUGUUCCUGAGUCGGGUUUAGACAAUCACUGCAGCGAAGCUCUGCUGCAUCGUUGCAGCAACCUGUCUUCAUGAAGCUCCACACAGCCUCAGGAUUUAGACAAUCACUGAAGGGAAACUCUACUCCAUGACUGCAUCAACCUGUCUUCAUGUCAAGGUUGAGCCACCUGGUGCUGUGCGCUGCCUUCGACAUCUUCAAGUUUCCCCGCCUCUUGUGAUACUGGAUCCAG